CACACCAUGGGGACCUCAGGAAGCUCCCCCAGCCAGAUCCAUGACAGGAGCACCGACGACGCACAUGUCGACCUCGACGAGUGCCCCAUCUGCUUCCUGGUAACCAUCCUUUUCCCCAUCUUCCCCAUCUACAGUUCUACCUAACCACUCCUCGCCGCGCUGCUGCGUGCCGGCGCUGGGGCGUCCGUGCCCUCCUCCAGGUUUUGUCUCCGGCGAUGUAGGUACCCAACUCCGCCAAAUCAGUCGCCUCCGCCUUUCCUCCCGCCGGCAGCAACAGCCCUGAGGAGG
rnacentral:lncRNA from 1 species